rnacentral:rRNA from 1 species
UCGAGCGAAUGGAUUAAGAGCUUGCUCUUAUGAAGUUAGCGGCGGACGGGUGAGUAACACGUGGGUAACCUGCCCAUAAGACUGGGAUAACUCCGGGAAACCGGGGCUAAUACCGGAUAACAUUUUGAACCGCAKGGUUCGAAAUUGAAAGGCGGCUUCGGCUGUCACUUAUGGAUGGACCCGCGUCGCAYUAGCUAGUUGGUGAGGUAACGGCUCACCAAGGCAACGAUGCGUARCCKACCUGAGAGGGUGAUCGGCCACACUGGGACUGAGACACGGCCCAGACUCCUACGGGAGGCAGCAGUAGGGAAUCUUCCGCAAUGGACGAAAGUCUGACGGAGCAACGCCGCGUGAGUGAUGAAGGCUUUCGGGUCGUAAAACUCUGUUGUUAGGGAAGAACAAGUGCUAGUUGAAUAAGCUGGCACCUUGACGGUACCUAACCAGAAAGCCACGGCUAACUACGUGC